rnacentral:rRNA from 1 species
UACAGAGGGUGCAAGCGUUAAUCGGAAUUACUGGGCGUAAAGCGUGCGUAGACGGUUACGUAAGUCGGGUGUGAAAGCCCCGGGCUCAACCUGGGAAUUGCAUUCGAGACUGCAUAGCUAGGGUGCGGAAGAGGGAAGCGGAAUUUCCGGUGUAGCGGUGAAAUGCGUAGAUAUUGGGAGGAACACCAGUGGCGAAGGCGGCUCACUGGACCGGAACUGACGCUGAGGCGCGAAAGCGUGGGGAGCAAACGGG